AUUGAACGCUGGCGGCAGGCCUAACACAUGCAAGUCGAGCGAGCGGCGGACGGGUGAGUAAUGUAUGGGGAUCUGCCCGGUAGAGGGGGAUAACUACUGGAAACGGUGGCUACUAACGCAUUAUAUCGGAUGAACCCAUAUUGGAUUAGCUAGUAGGUGGGGUAAAGGCUCACACAGGCGAAGAUCUCUAGCUGGUGUGAGAGGAUGACCAGCCACACUGGGACUGAGACACGGCCCAGACUCCUACGGGAGGCAGCAGUGGGGAAUAUUGCACAAUGGGCGCAAGCCUGAUGCAGCCAUGCCGCGUGUAUGAAGAAGGCCUUAGGGUUGUAAAGUACUUUCAGCGGGGAGGCGUUACCCGCAGAAGAAGCACCGGCUAACUCCGUGCCAGCAGCCGCGGUAAUUC
rnacentral:rRNA from 1 species